AAACGACUGCUAAGACUGGAUAGGAAAUAAAAAGGCAUCUUUUUAUUUUUAAAAGACCUUUUUCGGAAGGUAUGCUUAAAGAUGAGCUUGCGCCACAUUAGUUUGUUGGUGGGGUAAUGGCCUACCAAGACGAUGAUGUGUAGCUGGACUGAGAGGUCGAACAGCCACAUUGGGACUGAGACACGGCCCAAACUCCUACGGGAGGCAGCAGUAGGGAAUUUUCGGCAAUGGAGGAAACUCUGACCGAGCAACGCCGCGUGAACGAUGAAGUAUUUCGGUAUGUAAAGUUCUUUUAUUGAAGAAGAAAAAAUAGUGGAAAAACUAUCUUGACGUUAUUCAAUGAAUAAGCCCCGGCUAACUAUGUGCCAGCAGCCGCGGUAAGACAUAGGGGGCGAGCGUUAUCCGGAAUUAUUGGGCGUAAAGGGUGCGUAGGCGGUUAGGAAAGUCUAUAAUUUAAUUUCAGUGCUUAACGCUGUCUUGUUAUAGAAACUACCUUGACUAGAGUUAGAUAGAGGCAAGCGGAAUUCCAUGUGUAGCGGUAAAAUGUGUAAAUAUAUGGAGGAACACCAGAAGCGUAGGCGGCUUGCUGGGUCUUGACUGACGCUGAGGCACGAAAGCGUGGGUAGCAAACAGGAUUAGAUACCCUGGUAGUCCACGCCGUAAACGAUGAGUACUAAGUGUCGGGAUAAAACUCGGUACUGAAGUUAACACAUUAAGUACUCCGCCUGAGUAGUACGUACGCAAGUAUGAAACUUAAAGGAAUUGACGGGACUCCGCACAAGCGGUGGAUCAUGUUGUUUAAUUCGAAGAUACACGAAAAAUCUUACCAGGUCUUGACAUGCUCUGCAAAGCUAUAGAAAUAUAGUGGAGGUUAUCAGGGACACAGGUGGUGCAUGGUUGUCGUCAGUUCGUGUCGUGAGAUGUUAGGUUAAGUCCUAAAACGAGCGCAACCCUUGUCGUUAGUUACCAGCACGUAAUGGUGGGCACUUUAACGAGACUGCCAAUUAAACAUUGGAGGAAGGUGAGGAUUACGUUAAAUCAUCAUGCCCCUUAUGAUCUGGGCUACAAACGUGAUACAAUGGCUGUUACAAAGAGUAGCUGAAGCGCGAGUUUUUAGCCAAUCUCAAAAAAGCAGUCUCAGUUCGGAUUGAAGUCUGUAACUCGACUUCAUGAAGUUGGAAUCGCUAGUAAUCGCGAAUCAGCAUGUCGCGGUGAAUACGUUCUCGGGGUUUGUACACACCGCC
rnacentral:rRNA from 1 species